rnacentral:lncRNA from 1 species
AGCAGUUACAAAUAAGUCUCAUUAGAUCAAUAGUAUUUAAUUAUUAUUAGAAAAUAUAUUUCGAGUAAUAAACGUGUUAUGCUCUACACUGCCAGCCACUUCAAUGUGAACCCAGAAAGUUUCUUCCUUGUUUCCUGCAAUGAAUGUCACAACUGGAUUUUAUUUUUGCUGUUGUCAAAAUGAUCUCAAAAGUAACUUAUAUUUUUGUUCCCAGAGGCCAGAACUUUUACAGAAAAAAAAAGAUAAUCUUUUAGAAUUACUUUGCGGUCAUUUUCUUUUAAAUGUAAAACCCAAUUGUGACAUUCAUUGUAGAACAAGGUGGUAUUUCACAAUUUUCUCCUAAAACAAUAUUUUAAGAAGAAAAAGUUUUACCAAAGUAAAUGAGUAGAGCAUAAUAUGUAUUUCGAUACUGUACAUGUAAUACAAAUUAAUACCAUGGUAGAGACAAGGGGGCAUGUACAUAGACGAAUGUCAGUUCCAACAAGUAAAUCAAAAGGUUUCUUUCGUAAUCCAAUUCCUAAGUGUCUUUGCGAACUAAUCAUAUGUUUUUGAUUAUCAACUUAAAAAAUGUCAACAUCUAAAUGAGCUCCCCACCUUAUAAUGCCUCCAACACUGUUUAAGCAAGAAUACACCUACUGUGCUCAAUAUAACCAGCGCUCCUCCCUUAUAGUCCUUCCCCUUCUCUUCCAAUCAUCUCCUUUCACCCAAAGGAGACAAUUUGACCAUGGAGAUAGAACAAAUUUCCAGUUGUCAUUACCCCCCAGGUUUCAGAUUCCACCCCUCAGAUGAAGAGCUGAUCGUUCACUACUUGCUGAAAAAACUCAGUUCGUGUCCGCUGCCAGCCGAUGUAGUUGCUGAAAUAGAACUUUACAACUACAACCCAUGGGAGCUUCCCAGUUAGUUAUCUAUUAUCUAUAAGCUUAUUUAGAUGGUAUUACUUUUAUUUUCUUCCUCUUAUGAUUAUUAUUAUUUCUGAAUUUCAGACAAGUCAUUGUUCGGAGAAGAUGAGUGGUAUUUCUUCACCCCGAGGGACCGAAAGUACCCGAAUGGAGAGAGGCCUAAUAGGACAGCAUCUUCAGGUUAUUGGAAGGCAACUGGGACAGACAAGCCUAUACUCAGUGCUUCUGGAUCAAGAAGCAUUGGAGUGAAGAAGGCUCUCGUUUUUUACAAGGGUCGUCCUCCGAAGGGCUUAAAGACGGAUUGGAUCAUGACAGAGUACAGAUUGCCUGACACCAUGACUCGAUCGGCGAGGUCAAAAGGGUCCAUGAGGGUAAGUAUGUGCCUUGAUGUUUGUUCAUUAUAAACUGUUUCUCAUUAAGAGGAACAGAAAGUAAAGAUUUUUUUUAGGCUAACUAAAUAACUUGUGUUAUUGGAACACAGAUCAUUCCUGAAACAAAUGUUACUUCUAUAUCGAAACAUGUUAAAACCAACUUAACAAUAUAAGAUUUGUCAAUGAACCUAGUUAUACUGAAGGCACUAUGUAAGAAUAGAAUAAGCUUUUGAUCAGUAUGUUCUUGUUUUUUAUAAUCUUUCAACCCCAUAUGAUGCUCCCUCAAUUCUUUUCGACAAACGCCGUAUCAUCAUUGAAGAUUUGAAAAUUAUCUUCUACUUGUUUUUGUGCAACAAAAGUUUACACAUCUACAUAGGUUAACAGAUAAUAUAUAUGAUCUGCAACAAAAGUUACUUCUAUAUCGAAUCAUGUUAGACCAACUCAACAACAUAAGAUUUGUCAAUUAACCUAGUUAUACUGAAGGCACUAUGUGAAUAGAAUAAGCUUUUGAUCAAUAUGUUCUUGUUUUUCUUAAUCUUUCAACCCCAUAUGAUGCUCCCUCAAUCGUUUUCAACAAACACCGUAUCAUCAUUGAAGAUUUGAAAAUUAUCUUCUACUUGGUUUUGUGCAACAAAAGUUUACACAUCUACAUAGGUUAACAGAUAAUAUAUCCUGCCAUGGAGGAUGAAAAACACUUGAACCAUAUAUCUAUUUAGGGUUAGUCUAGAUUCUAGGGUGCCACCCUUCUCACCUCCCUUGAAGCUGUGAAACGUCACUAGUUCACAAACCAACGAUCUCACCAAUUGAACAAAAAGAUAAUCAGAUGCCAAAAUAAUACUCCCUUGGUCCAGAAUACAGAUAUGAGAGUCUCACUUGACUUUACUUCUUUUUAUGGAUAUUUAGGUUGCCUAGAACACACUUGGACAUGAUUUUCUUGGAAUGUUUUCUAUAUAUGUAUAUAUUAAAUUUGAAGAUUAGAAAGGGAAAAAAUAUAUGAAAUGGGAACUAAUUUCCGGAGGAAGUAUAGCACAUGAUAAUCACUUCCCCUCAUAGAGGUAGUAAACUGAUUAUACCUUCCCCAAAGCCGGAGACUUGCAACCUCCUAAAAGUCUGUACUUCAAGUCUUCAACUAAGUUUCACAAGAAGAAGAUUAUGUCAUCAUGUAUCCCCCUAAAGUAAUCAAUUGAUAAGAUCAAUCUUGACUACUAACAUCUGCAUCAUCAUCUUCUUCUUCAACAUCACACUAAUUAUUAAGCACUAAACAUAAAAUAACUGAUUCCAAUAAAGUAAUCGAUCAAUAAAAUCAAUCUUCAUUCCUAAAUAAUUCUCUGUUUGUUUGUCGCAGUUAGACAAUUGGGUACUUUGUCGCAUACGUCAAAAAGGCAACAUGUCAAAGAAUAAUUGGGCAGGCGAUGAAAGCCCCAGCAGAUCGGUAAAUUUUUUACCAAAAAUUGAGGAGCUCCCUUCAGCAUACACUAAAACCAACACAGAGAUCAUGUCAAAGAAUAAUUGGGCAGGCGAUGAAAGCCCCAGCAGAUCAGUAAUUUUUUUACCAAAAAUCGAGGAGCUCCCUUCAGCAUACACAAAAUCCAACACAGAGAUCACUACAGAUUACCUAUUGAAGGAUUGCCAUAUAUUGGCAUCCAUGCUAGCUUGUCAAGAUCUUCCUCCAAUCGAAAACAUUUCCAAUGCAACCUUUCCACGAAGAAACUACAGCAACAACUCAGGGUCAGGUCUUUAUGAUCAUACUUCAGGCAAGGAGAAUUCUUUCAUGACAAGUUCUUUCUAUGAGAGUUUCUUCAACCCAACCAAGGCAAGACUUAACGAGGGAAAUAGGUUUGAUAAUCUCAUUGGUUCUAAUAAGAUGGUGACAGAUAUAAACGGAAAUGAGGUUCUUAUCCCAGGAAACAUGAUGACCACUACCGCAAUGAACUUCUAUAAUCAAAAUCAGGCUCAAGGAAACAUAUUUAAUCCUAGUCAAUCGGAUGUCAUCAUGAAUUUAAUCCUGUCUCAAGAAGAUUUCUGAACCAAUGGAACAACCUCUUAAAGAAGACUUGGCUUCACAAAAGAGCAGACAAGACAUCCAAGUUGAAGUUUGUUUAAGAUACUUUUUAAGACGUGCAGAAAUGGUUCUUGCUCCACCAGACUAAAAACCACUAAUAUUCUGCAUUACAUUUACUUUUGUCAUCCUUUAAAGUCGCUUGAUGUUUCAUGAAUCCUUACAUUCUUGUUUUAUGUGUGAGAACUUAUAUCUAUGAAUAAUGUCUUAUAUUGUGUGCUAAAUUAAGUUUGCAACUCUGAAAUUUUGAGAACAAAUGUUUCUGCACCCAGUAAUGAGUAAUAACAUCUGAAAGUCUAUUCCAUGUUCUUUUCAAUCAUGUAAAUUUCCUUCCUGAAUAUAUGUUUCAUAUUCCUAACAUUUAAAGGUUAGUGAGAGGAACUCUGUCAGUCACUAGUUCACUACUCGUGAUACCUAAACACGCCAAAUGUAUGGUAAAGUAAACCAGAAGUAGUCAAGUAGAGAAGCCACUCCCAAUUGUUGCGGGAUGACAAACCCGAGAAAACCACUACACAAACAAGUUUGUACUAAAUACAUAGACUACUACAAUUUCCUGUAAACGCAAUAAGCCCAUCGUGUGUUUUAACCAGUUGUUAAAGAACAAAUUAGGACAAGGACAACACACAUAGUAAAAUCAGUUCAAGCCUAAGAGAUUAAUUUGUCCAUUGUCAUUGCCUAUAAAACACCGAAUAAUUGAUUUUAUUUUCAAAUAAUAUAUUUUAUGUUCAUAAAUUGAUUGAUUCUGACUUUCUCAUAAAAUAAAUUUUCUUACUUUCACACUAAUACUGAAAGGGCAAAUCCCAAAACUAUAUCCUCCAGUAUAAACUCAGCCAUCUGCAUCCCUAGGCCUUAAGAUUUAAAUAGGCAAAACAGUAAAUUAAAGAAUAAUCUAACACUAUUAAACAAAUAUUUCAGCUAUAAGUAUUUUAAUCCUUCAAUGAUUACUACUCAAUAAAUUAUUAAAAGCAUAACAUAACUCCAAUUUCCAUAGUAAACUCAGCUAAUUGUCGGUAUUACUAAAAAAAUCAACAUAUUUUAAUCACCCUGCUACUAAAAUUUACCUGAGCUUCCAUUCUCUGUUCAAUCCACCAUUUUCGGAAAAAAUGAUCCCAAAUUCACUUCUAAACCACCGGAAUUUCUUCUCCGAUUCGUUUUCUCCAUUGAUGCAUGUCUUUCGCUUAUUAUUCACAUUUCUUUUCCUUUUUCGUUGAUUCUUCAGGGUUUGUUCGUCUUGAAUAAGCUCCGAUUGUUCAUUCCUAUCAUUCACCGAUAACAGAAGUACGAUUGCAGCGAUUGCUUAAGUACAACGUUGGAUCUAAUUUUCCUCUCCUCUCUCGUUUUGUUUCUUAUUUUCCUAAAUAUUUCUUCCAAAUUUAGCUUCACAUAUAAAGAUUUGGCAUUGCUCAAUUAUCAGUUUUUAUUUACUCAGUCGCACAGAAAUAGUCACAUUUAC